AACGCGAAGAACCUUACCCGGACUUGACAUCCUCGGAACCUGCCAGAGAUGGUGGGGUGCUCGCAAGAGAGCCGAGAGACAGGUGCUGCAUGGCUGUCGUCAGCUCGUGUCGUGAGAUGUUGGGUUAAGUCCCGCAACGAGCGCAACCCUCGCCUUUAGUUGCCAUCAUUCAGUUGGGCACUCUAGAGGGACUGCCGAUGUUAAAUCGGAGGAAGGUGGGGAUGACGUCAAGUCCUCAUGGCCUUUAUGUCCGGGGCUACACACGUGCUACAAUGGUCGGUACAAAGGGUUGCUAACUCGCGAGAGGGAGCCAAUCCCAAAAAACCGGUCUCAGUUCGGAUCGAAGUCUGCAACUCGACUUCGUGAAGGAGGAAUCGCUAGUAAUCGCGGAUCAGCACGCCGCGGUGAAUACGUUCCCGGGCCUUGUACACACCGCGAGC
rnacentral:rRNA from 1 species